UGGGGGAUAUUGCACAAUGGGCGAAAGCCUGAUGCAGCGACGCCGCGUGAGGGAAGACGGUCCUCUGGAUUGUAAACCUCUGUCUUCGGGGACGAUAAUGACGGUACCCGAGGAGGAAGCCACGGCUAACUACGUGCCAGCAGCCGCGGUAAUACGUAGGUGGCAAGCGUUGUCCGGAAUUACUGGGUGUAAAGGGAGCGUAGGCGGGUGAACAAGUUGAAUGUUAAACCUAUCGGCUUAACCGGUAGUUGCGUUCAAAACUGUACAUCUUGAGUGAAGUAGAGGCAGGCGGAAUUCCUAGUGUAGCGGUGAAAUGCGUAGAUAUUAGGAGGAACACCAGUGGCGAAGGCGGCCUGCUGGGCUUUUACUGACGCUGAGGCUCGAAAGUGUGGGGAGCAAACAGG
rnacentral:rRNA from 1 species